GUCGUAGCAACAGUAACUAUGGGAAGGAACGUGUGGAGAGAAGCAGCGAAUCAUGGAAACGUUUAUGGUGAUGCAGGUCGUUGGGACGAAAAUCCGUACUUCAAUCAAAUGAGGCAAGCAGUCAGAUCCCACCAGUUUGUGUGGUGACAUCAUAGACUGUAUAUGUAAGGGUGACAUCGGUCCACCAAUAACUCAUUAAUAUCUGGGAAGCUGUCCUAAUCUUGUUUUGUUGAACCUAGCCCACUGUCAACAUUCUGAGCUUGUAGGGCCUCUUCCGGAGCACAAGACUUUGAUGCCCGCUAAGGACCAGUCUGAUCUGAACAACCCCGAAGCUACAGAACGGGCCGAUGUGCUGCAACUGGAUAACUUGCAAGAUAAUAGUCUCCUCGAUAAAACAAAAAUAUCCCCGAAGGUUGUGGAGAAAAAGUAUCCUUUUCAACAGGGUUACAAGAUAAAGCCAUUCCACAGUGAAAACGAAGUGUUCGAGGACAAUCUUCAGACUCCUGCUCUCAAAGUUCAUGUCAACCACAAAAUCCCAUCCGGAGUUGACCUAUUGAUAGACCCUACAGGGUUCAAGCCACCUGCGAAAUUAGACAAUACCUUGAGCACUGUUUUCUUGGUUCUUAUUGUAUUAUUGUUUUUAAUCGAUGUUGUGAGGUUCUCCAAGCAUAAAAUAAGAAGAUAUAAUGCUGCCAGGAUGAAGGAAAGAGAGUCGGAUAUUGCUGAACCCCCGCUGACAUUGACGUCCAGAGUUUGGGUGGGCAUCUCCUCACUGUUUGGUCCAAAAGAGGCUGCAUCUCCACCACAGCUGUUUCCGGUUUCUGAUGAUGAUGCAGAGAAGUCAAUCUCCACCACGGGCAACUCUAAUCAUGAAAAGAAAUUCGGAAGGAGAACGUUUAGCUGGAGACUAUGGAGACCGACUCAGCGGAUUGUCCCACAGAACAAUCCGGUGCUCGAUACUGUGCCUUUCAUCGAGGUUCCACUGACCACAAUUCACCCACCCCUGGAAAAAGUUGUAUGUCACCACAUAGUCAACCACCAGACAACUGACAAGCCCUGCUACACAGGGUCGGGACUUCCUGAGGUCAGCAUCAGUUGACUUUGAGGACAUCGGAAACCAAUUAACAUUGAUUGGCCGAAAAUACCUCUUGUGACGUUUUUUCUCAUUUAAUUUGAUCAUAACUUUAGAGUAAUAAAACUUGCAUUCCAAAUGUACAGUAUGUCUGGUAUAGUUUGUCACACAAAUAACUGUCUCUCUAUGCCACUGUGUCGCUUGGCCUUGAGUUCGCUAACAUCCAUGCUAACAGGCCUCAGGCCUUUACUGCCCGUUUGUAUUUAACCUAGCCUGCUGAGUUAACUAUGAAGGUCGCUUGCAUCCAUGAUAAGUGGCGCUAAUGGGUCCGCCAUCUUCCCUGUGACUAAUUUGGAAAAGUCCGGCCAAUUACACAAAAAAAUAGUGGUGUUUUGUGCAGAAACAACUUGCUCCACAAAAAGGACCAAAGAUACGAGGGAGGCUGGAAUCACUUCAUACUCUAAGCAGAGAUGCCCAGACUUCCCUCUCCCCAGACACUUCCUCCAGCUCUUCCGGGGGGACACCGAGGCGUUCCCAGGCCAGCCGGGAGACAUAGUCCCUCCAGCGUGUCCUAGGUCUUCCCCGGGGUCUCCUCCCGGUGGGACGGGACCGGAACACCUUCCCAGGAAGGCGUUCCGGAGGCAUCCGAAACAGAUGCCCAAGCCACCUCAGCUGACCCCUCUCGAUGUGGAGGAGCAGCGGCUCUACUCUGAGCUCCUCCCGGGUGACCGAGCUUCUCACCCUAUCUCUAAGAGAACGCCCGGCCACCCUGCGGAGAAAGCUCAUUUCGGCCGCCUGUAUCCGGGAUCUUGUCCUUUCGGUCAUGACCCAAAGCUCAUGACCAUAGGUGAGAGUAGGAACGUAGAUUGACCGGUAAAUCGAGAGCUUCGCCUUGCGGCUCAGCUCUUUCUUCACCACGACAGACCGAUACAUCGACCGCAUUACUGCAGAAGCUGCACCGAUCCGUCUGUCAAUCUCCCGUUCCAUCCUUCCCUCACUCGUGAACAAGACCCCUAGAUACUUAAACUCCUUCACUUGAGGCAGGCACUCUCCACCAACCUGAAGUGGGCAAGCCACCCUUUUCCGACUGAGGACCAUGGCCUUGGAUUUGGAGGUACUGAUUCUCAUCCCCACCGCUUCACACUCGGCUGCAAACCGUCCCAGUGCAUGCUGAAGGUCCUGGUUUGAAGGGGCCAACACGACAACAUCAUCCGCAAAGAGCAGAGACGAAAUCGUGUGGUGUCCAAACCUGACACCCUCCGGCCCCUGGCUGCGCCUAGAAAUUCUGUCCAUCAAAAUUAUGAACAGAACCGGCAACAAAGGGCAGCCCUGCCUGGGUCCAACAUGCACUGGGAACAAGUCUGACUUACUGCCGGCAAUGCGGACCAAGCUCCUACUUCAGUUGUACAGGGACCUGACAGCCCUUAGCAAAGGACCCAGGACCCCAUAUUCCCGAAGCACUCUCCACAGGAUGCCACGAGGGACACAGUCGAAUACCUUCUCCAAAUCCACAAAACACAUGUGGAUUGGUUGGGCAAACUCCCAUGAACCCUCCAACACCCUGUAGAGGGUAUAGAGCUGGUCCAGUGUUCCACGGCCCGGACGAAAACCACACUGUUCCUCCUGAAUCCGAGGUUCUACUAUCGGCCGUAUUCUCCUCUCCAGAACCCUGGCAUAGACUUUCCCGGGGAGGCUGAGAAGUGUGAUCCCCCUAUAGUUGGAACACACCCUCCGGUCCCCCUUCUUAAAAAGACGGACCACCACCCCGGUCUGCCAUCCCAAAGGCACUGUCCCCGACCGCCACGCAAUGUUGCACAGGCGUGUCAGCCAAGACAGCCCCACAACAUCCAGAGACUUGAGGUACUCAGGGCGGAUCUCAUCCACCCCCAGUGCCUUGCCACCGAGGAGUUUCUUGACCACCUCAGUGACUUCAGCCCGGGUGAUGGACGAGUCCACCUCUGAGCCCUCAUCCUCUGCUUCCUCAAUGAAAGACGUAACUGUUAUAAAAACUUAAAAUGCUACUUCUGCCAUGUGUUUUUAUUGUAGAUGAUUUAGAGCAGGUCCCAGGUAAAAAUGGCUGCCAAAUUGCUCUACUCUGAUGUAUAGGGGCUCUAUGACAUCAGCCUAUCUAGUGUUCUAUUAUCUAUGGCUAAUGUUACCACGGUUCCAUAAAACUUAAAUUAGAAAUGUAUUUUGUUUUUUAUAAAGGUUGUCUGUUAAUGUAAAUGUACUUUUGAUACCUGAGAAAAGACAUUUAAGAACUGUUGUACAACUAAAUAGAGAUUUUAUUUCAUUAUGGGUUUACUGAAAUAUCACCUCAUUUUAUUCUCAUAGUAGCCUGUAGUAAUUGAUUUAAUUACUAAAUGGUAAUUGAAAGAAAUGAUCUGGUCUUAUUUAUAGCUCAGGUUUUGGUAAAGGGUUGAAGCACAAGGGCCCCAGCGUUUGAGAAACGGAAUUCUUGUCAAUAAUGGCAAGUGGAAAAAAGGAAGAACCAAACUCAAGGAGCUGAAGAGGUUUUAUUUUAUGUGCACACUAUUAUUUUAGUUUAUUUUUCAUACCUGUUUUAUGUGUAUGUACACUAUAUUUCUGUGUAAUUAACACCCUCUGUUCCAACUUUCAUUCUGGUGUGGUAUUCAAUAUUCAAUCAUCUGGCUCUUAAUCUAGUUUCUUCUGAUACUGGUCCAAAUUCACAUUGAUGACAACCUGUAAGACUACUACAAGCUAUCACCCUAAUAUACAUCAUUACAGCAACGUAAUAAGGGUUACACUCUGCAUUGCUCUCAGUGGUUCCUGUAGCUUGUUAACACAGGAGUACAUUUUUUCCUAUAGCUACAGUUUAAGAAAUAAGUGAGGCUCAAAUUAAUAGAGCUUACUUAUUUUACCUCUUUUUCCUGAAGAAACCUUUAUGGUCCAAAUUAAAUUAUUAAAUUCUUCAUUCUUCAGUCUAUUUUUGAACCAUAUAAGAAAACUUCUGAGAAAUUAUUAAUCUGACCUUAAUCUUGAUGGGAACCCACUGUGUAGCCUAAUGUUGGUUAGCUAGCUAAUGAUGCCAAAGAUAGGAUACAGGUUGAAAAAGCUGCCUUAUGACCAGAACUGGGAUCAGGCAGCAAGUUUAUUUCAUUUUAUACAAUGUAUAUCAAGUAUAAGAUACAAAAACUGUUGAAGGUUCAUUUUGAUUUACAGUGAGUGCCUUAAGAAAUCUUUCCUCUGUCCUUUAUAUUAGAUAAAGAUACGUUAUUUGAAAUAAGGUUAUGCAAUGCCCAAUACACUUUGUGAAAAAGUAAUUGUCCAUACGCUAAAUAGCCUACCAGCGAUAUACUGACAUUUAGUACAAUCGCAGAUUUUAUUCAAUAGAGUUCGCGAGACAGACUAGGGUAUGUAUAGGCUACAUGUCCCCAACAACAUUUUGUGACGGCAUGUACCGGCUCACACCGAUCUGAUUUUGGAUUGAUGUACGGAAUUUUAGAAAGAAAUUCCGUACAUCAAUGGAUAUAUUGUGGAACUGCGUAGUAGAGAUAUACUGUUGUUUUCAGGAUGACAACAUCACUGGGGAAGACAUUUCUAGUAGCAUUGGGAUUGUUCCAUAUCCACAAAAAGAAAUGGUCAGAAUCCAGACCAAAUUUCUUCCACUUUGAAAGAAAGCAAUGAACACUUGUAGUAUUUUGUAUACAUAUAAUAUUUAAAUUUAGAUACCCUGGCAAUGUACAAAGUUACAAUGACUUAUGACUGUGACUUUACCGUUUGUUG
ensembl:lncRNA